UCUCCGUAGGUGAACCAGCGGAGGGAUCAUUACAGAAUUCUGACCGUUAACGUUAAACCACCCACCAACUGUUAUCGUUACUGUCGUUUCUUUGGCGGGCCACCGGGUCCCCCGGCCGCCCGCGUCCAAUAAGCCGCGCGCGGCCGCCCGGGGGCUUCAAACUCUGAAUGUUUGUAUCGUCUGCGUACUGUAAAAUAGUUAAAACUUACAACAACGGAUAACUUGGUUCUUGCAUCUAUGAAGGACGCAGCAGGUCGGAAGACCAAAGGUCUCAACUCC
rnacentral:misc_RNA from 1 species